GACCCCAGUCAGGCGGGACUACCCGCUGAGUUUAA
rnacentral:rRNA from 1 species